GAUGAACGCUGGCGGCGUGCUUAACACAUGCAAGUCGAACGGAAAGGCCCAAGCUUGCUUGGGUACUCGAGUGGCGAACGGGUGAGUAACACGUGGGUGAUCUGCCCUGCACUUCGGGAUAAGCCUGGGAAACUGGGUCUAAUACCGGAUAGGACCACUUCUUGGAUGUUGUGGUGGAAAGUUUUUUCGGUGUGGGAUGAGCUCGCGGCCUAUCAGCUUGUUGGUGGGGUAAUGGCCUACCAAGGCGUCGACGGGUAGCCGGCCUGAGAGGGUGUACGGCCACAUUGGGACUGAGAUACGGCCCAGACUCCUACGGGAGGGAGCAGUGGGGAAUAUUGCACAAUGGGCGCAAGCCUGAUGCAGCGACGCCGCGGGGGGGAAGACGGGCUUCGGGUUGUAAAAUCCUUUCGCUAGGGAAGAAGCGGUUUGUGACGGUACCUGGAGAAGAAGCACCGGCUAACUACGUG
rnacentral:rRNA from 1 species